UUCAGAUCAUACCCUCUGGAGCAGGAGAAAACAAGGACAUUUGCAAUUUGGAGGCUCUUGAAAGUAGAAGUACAUGAAUUGCCUGACAACAUCUUCAAAGGAAAGCUCAGCAUUGACAGUGACCUCUUCAGAUGUGACAUGAAUAAGUUCACCAGUCUCCCGCACUAAGAAGAUGUCUGUGCACAAUUUGAGGAUGCGAUCUACAUUGGGAAGCUCUUCAAACAUUAUGGAGUGGGAAAUCCCACUGAAGAACUCACGGACAAAUUUUCCUAUUACCAGGACGACUGAAGCGUAUAAUCCCAUUAUGCUGCAAAACAAGGGGAGAAAGAAUCACUUCAGCAUAUGGCAGCCACAGGAAACAACCAUUUGUGCAUCUUGAAUAUAUAUUGUCAUGCAGUGAAGUCGGCUUUUGGCAUUCCACCCACAUGUUGGAGUCUGCAGUGGCAUACUAAAGUCUAAGACUCUCGCCAGCACUUUAGAAUGAAUAUAUGAGCAUAAAUAUCUUCAACACAGAUCCAGCUAGAGAGACUUAAUGUGGUAUC